GCCUAUAAUCUAGCCCACUCCCCCCCCCAUGACCCUUCUAUAUUACAAUUUUUAAAUAAAACAUUUUAAUGCCUUAGUACAGGAGAUCAAAAAGACUCACAGGCGCCUCAGAUAAAGUACCGUAAGGGAACGAUGAAAUAUUAAUGAAACAACUACAAGCAAAAAACAGCAGAGAUUUCUCCUCG
rnacentral:rRNA from 1 species